rnacentral:rRNA from 1 species
GACGAACGCUGGCGGCGUGCUUAACACAUGCAAGUCGAGCGGUAAGGCCCUUUCGGGGGGUACACGAGCGGCGAACGGGUGAGUAACACGUGGGUGACCUGCCCUCAGCUCUGGGAUAAGCCUGGGAAACUGGGUCUAAUACCGGAUAUGACUCCAUGACGCAUGUUGUGGGGUGGAAAGCCUUGUGCGGCUGAGGAUGGGCCCGCGGCCUAUCAGCUUGUUGGUGGGGUGAUGGCCUACCAAGGCGACGACGGGUAGCCGGCCUGAGAGGGCGACCGGCCACACUGGGACUGAGACACGGCCCAGACUCCUACGGGAGGCAGCAGUGGGGAAUCUUGCGCAAUGGGCGAAAGCCUGACGCAGCGACGCCGCGUGAGGGAUGACGGCCUCGG